CCCGGGGGCACAGGCUGCUGAAGAGCACCAGAAGAUCUCAGUUUAUCAUCAGCCUUUCAUGGGAACUUGACUGGACAGGCUUUGACAGAAACUGAACAUUUGGUCUGGAAUUUAAUGAUAAAAUAGUGAGUUGGCUUGUGGAUUCUGUUAAACAGACAUUGGUGUUACCACAGGGGGAACCUCAGAGAACACAGGAAAUUAUGCUCACUUCAGACAGCACCAUGCUAUUCCCUGAAUUGCAAGCAGGAGAACCUGAUCAGUCUCCCUGGGAAGCUGAACUUGCUCAGUGUAUCUGAAGGCAAGACUGGCCCCAUGCUUUCUAACCAGCUGGAAGG
rnacentral:lncRNA from 1 species